CUCUACUCACCAUUGGAUGGCAAGACCUUCUAGGGUCUUCUAUAUUAAUCUCUAAUUAGGGCUUGGGCAUGAGACUUUAAUUAUUUUUGCCCCCCGCCUCUCGAGUUCUCUCUGCCUCUCAACUCUCUCUGGAAUUUUUCAUCAUUGAUUCUCUAAAUCAUAGAAUCUGUCCAGAAAGCCUCCUUCAACAUAAAUAUUUACCUUUUGUAUUAAUUCUAAGUGAUUUUAUGAAGUGUAUUGGAGCCAUUCUUGAGUGAACGGCCACUGUCGAUGUUGUGAGACUUAUGUAGAAAUUAUCUUGAGUAAUUAUUUCAAAGUGCCACAAGUUGUAUAUGCCAGACAGCUUCUUGAUUCAGUUGAUAUGGUGAUUUUCUUCUGGUUUGAUGGAAGCUCAAAAGGAAAUUAUGAACAAAGUUCAAAACCUCUUGUCUUAGGACGAAAAUCCCAUGUUUUUUUUAUGUUUUCUACAAUUUUUCUUCAUUUUAGAUUUUGUGGUUUUAUUUUUGGGUUUUUGUUAAGUUUAAGUGACUGAUUUUUUUUUUGUAAGCUCGUGUUACAGUGGUAUCAGAGCACAUGACGGUGGUUCUUGGCACAUCGGUGUGGUAGAUUUGACUGCUCCUGAAAUUGUUCAGUAGACCUCUGUUAAUUUUUUCUCAACACCCUAAUAAGGGAUGCCAAUGAAUUCAUUCCUGUUAUUUCGAGUUACAGUAUAUAAUAUUUGCCUAUACUCUGUGACCCUUGCAACUGUGGUAAAAUUUAUAAAUCGAAAACUUCUUGGUAGCUCCUUCGUCUAGAAAUCACGAGUUGUCUGGAAUCUGAGGGUUAUCUUGAAUUAAAAGUCGACAGUUCAAGCUCCAUUUUAUGAUUCCUGCAAGUAUUUUGCAUAUAGUGUAUAUGGCAUGUUGUGAUUAUGUUACUGUGACUUGAUAAUUUGUCGUUUUUGAGUAAACUACUUAUUCAUGUAAUGAAUGAACUGUUGAGUUUUCUACUAAAUAAUCUGUGACAUACAACUUGCUGUUUGUACACUUUACAUUGAUUACUGUGUACGAUAUUUGAGAUAUUGCAUGUUGUAUAUAUUGUUCAAAAUUUAUAUGAUCUGCCUGCACUGUUAAAAAUCAAAUUGUAUUUUGAUCAUGUUAAUUAAAGUUGAACUGAAAAUUUUUAAUGGUAAAGGAGACUUUAGUCUCUAGCGCCAGAAAAUGCGAGCCCUUUUACUUCAACAAAAAUGUGCAAAAGCUAUUGAUGGACCAUCGCCUAAUGAUAUGGAAGAAAUUAAGAAAAUUAAACUUGAUGAAACUGCAUGGAGUUCUAUAUUCUUGCAUUUAUCUCACAAUGUGUUAAGACAGAUUGGUGAGACAAAAACUACUACUGAAUUGUGGAAAAAAAUUGGAAGAUACAUAUCUGAAUAAAACCAUGCAUAAUAAAGUGUAUCUUCUAAAACAAUUUUUUGGUUUCAAAUUGGACCCAUUUUUUGAUCUUGAGGUAAGCAUUGAUAGAAUCAAUAGAUUAUCUUGUGACCUCGCUGAUUGUGAUGAGAAACUGUCAAAAGAUCAGUUGGUUGUGGUUUUGUUAAAUUCAAU
rnacentral:lncRNA from 1 species